ACACUGCAGCAUGCUAACCAAUGCAGUCGUACGGAGAGUGGGGCAACUCACUCUCAGUGGCAAACGGGUGAGUAACGCGUGAAUAACCUGCCUUUGAGAAGGGGAUAACUGUCCGAAAGGAUAGCUAAUACCCUAUAUUGCCUUUUGUCACUAAGGCAAAAGGUGAAAGCGAGGCUGUCAAAGGCUUCGGCUCAAAGAGGGGUUCGCGUCCUAUCAGGUAGUUGGUGGGGUAAUGGCCUACCAAGCCAAUGACGGGUAGCUGGUCUUAGAGGAUGAUCAGCCACAGUGGGACUGAGACACGGCCCGCACCCCUACGGGGGGCAGCAGUGGGGAAUCGUGGGCAAUGGGCGCAAGCCUGACCCCGCAAUGCCGCGUGAGAGAGAGAAGCCCUUCGGGGUGUAAACCUCUGUCAGAUGGGAAGAUGAGACUAGGGGCUAAUACCUCCUGGUCUUGACGGUACCAUCAAAGGAAGGGACGGCUAACUACGUGCCAGCAGCCGCGGUAAU
rnacentral:rRNA from 1 species